AUUGAACGCUGGCGGCAUGCUUUACACAUGCAAGUCGAACGGCAGCGGGGAGGAGCUUGCUUCUCUGCCGGCGAGUGGCGAACGGGUGAGUAAUACAUCGGAACGUGUCGAGAAGAGGGGGAUAACCACCCGAAAGGGUGGCUAAUACCGCAUAAAUUCUGAGGAAGAAAGCUGGGGACCUAGGAAUAGGCCUAGCGCUUUUUGAGCGGCCGAUGUCGGAUUAGCUAGUUGGUGAGGUAAAGGCUCACCAAGGCGAAGAUCUGUAGCGGGUCUGAGAGGAGGACCCGCCACACUGGGACUGAGACACGGCCCAGACUCCUACGGGAGGCAGCAGUGGGGAAUUUUGGACAAUGGGGGCAACCCUGAUCCAGCCAUGCCGCGUGUAUGAAGAAGGCCUUAGGGUUGUAAAGUACUUUUGUUAGGGAAGAAAAGUCAGCUGUGAAUAAUGGCUGAUACUGACGGUACCUAAAGAAUAAGCACCGGCUAACUACGUG
rnacentral:rRNA from 1 species